rnacentral:lncRNA from 1 species
AUGAAUGUGAGCAGCCAGUGGAAGCAGCUUUACUUCUGUGAUUGCUUUCAUUCCUCUCGCAGAGCAGAAGAGGCAACUUGGUACUUGCAUCUUCCUUGUGUAGGAUCCCUGCUUCUGGCUUUGUCCUGCUUUCAGCAACCCCAGUCCACGCUGCUUUUCUGGCAAGAAAACCCCCAAAUGGCACUAGUGAAAGCUGGAAUCCCUUUUUGUCUGCAGUUCUCUCUAAAUGCAGUAUCAGGGAGUUCUUUACAGAUUCUGCUCUAAGCAGAAAUUCUCUAUGAGGAUCUGAGUGGAAGCUUCACCUCAGCAAUCACUGGCUGCUGAUGGGGCUUCAGGGAGGACAAGGGUUGGUGAUAGGAAGAGUGACCAGAAUAGGAGCAGUGAAAGGAAGCAGCUUUCCUCCUCAUCCAGCAGAAAACAGCCCCUGUGAAACCCAGACUUCCCCUAAUAUUUUGUUGUUGCCUCGUGUCUGCUGCCAAGUUAUGCUGUGAUCUGGAUCUCUGUCCUGCUUCUACCCCACCUCAGUUUCACUUAAAGCAGUCUGAGGCAGAGCCUUCCUUAAAGCUAAAGGCAACAGUGAGGAGAAAUGUCUGGUAGCUGAAGAAAAAUGAGAUUUAAAUGGAGCAGAAAAAGUGAGAAUUCCUUCUGUUUCACUGUCUUGCUGCUAAAAGUCUGGUGCAGAACAUCCUGAUGUUCUGCUGAUUUAUAUGCUGCUCUUGGGAGGUGGGCAGGCUGCUAAGUUGGCUCUGUAGCAAUUGAAUUACUGUAAACCUGAACUUGCUUAAUCUCUCCUUUUUUUCUCCCUCAAAUGGGCUUGAAGUAGAGGGAACCAGAGUAUUGUUUGUAAGAUCUUUUUGCUUUAAUAGAAAACAGAAUGUAAAAAAAGAAAAAAAAAACAACAACAAAAGCAAAACCAAACUCAUUCAAAUACAGUGAUACAGAAAAUGGCUUUAAAAUAUGAAAAUCUUACAAGACCAUAUGUUGUGUUGGGUUCUGGACAUGCAGUUUGUGCUGGGGAGGCUGGACUUGUCCAGCCUGCCAGCCAACCUCCACGUAGCCAAAAAGAGCAUUUUAAGAGUCUGUAGCUAUCCAAAGGACUGUUAUCCAAAGGACUGAUAAAAGCUGUUUAGGGAUAAAUCAAAAGCUGUGUGUGAGCAAUGGAUGGUAAAGCUGGAAAUUCAGAUCCAACUCUGAAUAAUUGCUCUUAGUAAAAAACAGAUUCAGAAAAAUCCAACUUUCCCCCUGUUCUGCAGACGCUCAUUCCCACCGAGUCCCCGGGGAAGGCUGAGAGGAGAACCUGAAAUACCUCAAUGGCUUCACAGAAGGGUUUGCUACAGAGAUCUGGGCCAGCCUUACCCCUUUCACCUCAGUUUGGCACUUAUUUUAUAAAAUAAGAAGGUGAUUGAAAGGGGAAACUAAAGCCAUGCUUGCAUUUCAGUUCCUGGUGUUGCCUGUGCAAGACACCUCCAGCCAGAUGUUUCGAGGUUUGUGGGGUUGUUUUUUUUUUUUUUUACAGCUGAUAUCAAAAGUUGUUGUUUUAUUUUAUUUUUAUUUUUUUUUUUUGUGACUUGUUUUCGUUAUCAGUGCUUUUUAAAAAGCAGGUGUGUAUCCCAAGGGGGGAAGCUCCAUGUGGGGCAGUGGAUGUGAAGUUCAUGUUGUUUCUCUGGCCAUGUUUGCAGCGCUGCUCCUGUGAGAUGUCCAAGGCAGCCGUGGCUCCCACCAGUGUGUGGGAUCCUGCAUCCCAGGAGCAGGACCUGUGUUUCCACAUCAAAUGGGAUACAGUGGUUUUGUUUGUUUGUUUUUUUUAAUAUAGAGCCAUACAUUUUUUAAGUAAUUUGAGAUCUGAAUGUGAUUUCUAAUGUAUCGAGAACGUUAAUAUUUUAAAGCUAUAACAAAGGUUUAAAUUUCUACUUUUUUUUUUUUUUUUUCCAUUUAUUUUAACUGUUCUGUUACCUUAAUUUGAUGUAUGUGGUUGGGGAAUGUUGCUUCUCCUCUUAGCAUUUGUUUCUAUAACCAGAAAUAAAAUUAUAUAUGAAAGAGAAAACGCCCUGAAA